GGGGUGUGGUGUUUGAGUUGUGGAUAGUGGUUGCGAGCAUCUAACAAGCAGAUUUAAUUGGUGUGUUUGUUUUGCAAUUUUUGUUUUCUUGGUUUU
rnacentral:misc_RNA from 1 species